UGAAGCGGCAACAGCUCAAAUUUGAAAUCUGGCCCCUAGGGCCCGAGUUGUAAUUUGCAGAGGAUGCUUUGGGCGAGGUGCCUUCCGAGUUCCCUGGAACGGGACGCCACAGAGGGUGAGAGCCCCGUCUGGUCGGACACCGAGCCUGUGUAAAGCUCCUUCGACGAGUCGAGUAGUUUGGGAAUGCUGCUCAAAAUGGGAGGUAUAUGUCUUCUAAAGCUAAAUAUUGGCCAGAGACCGAUAGCGCACAAGUAGAGUGAUCGAAAGAUGAAAAGCACUUUGAAAAGAGGGUUAAAAAGUACGUGAAAUUGUUGAAAGGGAAGCGCCUAUGACCAGACUUGGGCCCGGUGAAUCAUCCAGCGUUCUCGCUGGUGCACUUUGCCGGGCACAGGCCAGCAUCAGUUUGGCGCGGGGGACAAAGGCUUCGGGAAUGUGGCUCCCUCGGGAGUGUUAUAGCCCGCUGCGCAAUACCCUGCGCUGGACUGAGGUACGCGCAUCGCAAGGAUGCUGGCGUAAUGGUCAUCAGCGACCCGUCUUGAAACACGGACCAAGGAGUCGUCUUCGUAUGCGAGUGUUCGGGUGUCAAACCCCUACGCGUAAUGAAAGUGAACGCAGGUGAGAGCUUCGGCGCAUCAUCGACCGAUCCUGAUGUUCUCGGAUGGAUUUGAGUAAGAGCAUACGGGGCCGGACCCGAAAGAAGGUGAACUAUGCCUGUAUAGGGUGAAGCCAGAGGAAACUCUGGUGGAGGCUCGCAGCGGUUCUGACGUGCGAAUCGAUCGUCAAAUAUGGGCAUGGGGGCGAAA
rnacentral:rRNA from 1 species